CACAUUCCACAGCCAUUGUAAUGCAGCUGCUAUGGCUAGGAAUUGAACCUUAGACCUUGUGCUCAGCAGUGAAAUUACAUAGC
rnacentral:lncRNA from 1 species